ACACAUUUUAUUUAACGCAUUGUGGGAUUAAAACACAAAUUAAAGGAGCAACAGAAACAACAGAAAAGUUAGUCAUCACCACUUCAUGACCACUAAUAGCAACCAUACAGUACAUGUUCACAGUAAUUACCUUCCACACAGUGUCUGAUUGUCUUUGCUUGGGCGAUUGGGGCUCAGAUGUUUAUUGUUCACCAUCACCUGCAGUUAGAUGCCAAUUAGAUACCAUCAAUGUGUUUGUACUUAGUAAAGUCCAGCUUUUGGGACUGACUCAGUGGACUCCACAGAGAGGAAAGGACAUAAUCAUGAGUGCUCAUCUGUUAUUGUGGACAAGAUGAUCUACAACACCUUUGAACCAAGCAGUUAUUCCUGCCACGUUAUGGCUGGAAAGACCUGCCUGCACAGACGCUCUCCGGAAGUGAAGGAUAACGUCUCCGUCCCACUGUCCAACACCGGUUAUCAACCUAAUAACCCCAGUGACUCAACCACACAGAGAUCCACAACAUGGAUCUUCGUAGAAUAACAACAAACAGCAGCUUGGAGGAGGUGACAGCAAAACAACCUGAGAUUCUAAGGAAACAGGAAACCUGGAAACCUGCAGUCUUUGCAGAUAAACUAUCAAGAUGAUCGUGUGCUACACCAACAAGUAAAAACUCCAAACAACUUCUCUGAAGUCUUGAACAUUUCUCAUUCAAAAACUUGGAUGAUAAGGAACAGUCUGAAGAUCCCUUCACAUCCACAUAUUCCACAAAAAUAUGUCACUGUCUGGAUAAGACAUUAAAGAAGUUCAACUGGCUAUAGUGGAAGAUUCUGGGACUACAAAGACUAGAAGACAGAUACUGUUGUACAGAUAAGACAUUCAAACUGUGACACAACACUAAAUGCAAAGCAUGCCUCUUAUUUUUGAGAAAACAAACCAGUACAACCGUGAAAUAAACCCUUGCCUGUUUGUUUCAAAUGUCAUAACUUGAUGAGCACCGGACAAUGUAUUUGUACUUCACUGUGGACGCUGUACAGUGUCAGACAGACAAUAUGACACAGAAACAGCAUGAUGAUCAGCAGGAGGAGGAGCAAUGUUAAAUGUUGACAUGCCACCACUGUAAAACUAUAGUAUCUCAGCAGUACUGCAUUGUGUGUACCUCACUUGACGUGCAUGGCUACUAGCAUAUUUCUCUCUUUUCUUCAACUGUCCUCCUCGAUGGAGUAAACUGUUUGCAUCCUCACAAAUACCUCUCGGUCAUUUGCACUUGGUAAAAUACGUUAAACUCUUUUUUGAAUUAAUAUAUGUGUUUAUAUGUGCUUUAGAUUGUUUAUUUUUUCUCUAUCUCUAUCUCUCUAGCUUUAAGUUUUAUUUGAGGAAUUUCUUUCUUUCUGUAUUUUCAGUCAUGUCAUGAAUCAUGAACUUCCUAAUCUUCAAAGGACAUUUUGUAAAGGUGGACCUUUCUACCGUAUGACAUUUGGUCUUCUGUAAUAUAUCUCAUUAAAUGAAUAAGAACGUU